rnacentral:rRNA from 1 species
GACAGAGGGUGCAAACGUUGUUCGGAAUUACUGGGCGUAAAGCGCAUGUAGGCGGCCGCGUAGGUCGGAUGUGAAAUCCCUCGGCUCAACCGAGGACGUGCAUUCGAAACCCCGCGGCUCGAGUCCCGGAGAGGGUGGUGGAAUUCUCGGCGUAGAGGUGAAAUUCGUAGAUUUCGGGAGGAACACCGGCGGCGAAAGCGGCCACCUGGACGAGGACUGACGCUGAGAUGCGAAAGCGUGGGGAGCAAACAGG